rnacentral:rRNA from 1 species
UACGUAGGAGGCGAGCGUUGUCCGGAGUUACUGGGCGUAAAGGGCGCGUAGGCGGUUCGUACAGUCAGACGUGAAAUUCCUGGGCUCAACCUGGGGCUGCGUUUGAUACGUGCGGACUUGAGUGCGGAAGAGGGUCGUGGAAUUCCCAGUGUAGAGGUGAAAUUCGUAGAUAUUGGGAAGAACACCGGUGGCGAAGGCGGCGACCUGGUCCGAUACUGACGCUGAGGCGCGAAAGCGUGGGGAGCAAACAGG